rnacentral:rRNA from 1 species
GACGAACGCUGGCGGCGUGCCUAAUACAUGCAAGUAGAACGCUGAAGAGAGGAGCUUCCUCUUCUUGGAUGAGUUGCGCACGGGUGAGUAACGCGUAGGUAACCUGCCUUGUAGCGGGGGAUAACUAUUGGAAACGAUAGCUAAUACCGCAUAACAAUGGAUGACACAUGUCAUUUAUUUGAAAGGGGCAAUUGCUCCACUACAAGAUGGACCUGCGUUGUAUUAGCUAGUAGGUGAGGUAAUGGCUCACCUAGGCGACGAUACAUAGCCGACCUGAGAGGGUGAUCGGCCACACUGGGACUGAGACACGGCCCAGACUCCUACGGGAGGCAGCAGUAGGGAAUCUUCGGCAAUGGGGGCAACCCUGACCGAGCAACGCCGCGUGAGUGAAGAAGGUUUUCGGAUCGUAAAGCUCUGUUGUAAGUCAAGAACGGGUGUGAGAGUGGAAAGUUCACACUGUGACGGUAGCUUACCAGAAAGGGACGGCUAACUACGUG